GAUGAAUGCUGGCGGCGCGCCUAACACAUGCAAGUCGAGCGGUAACAUGGACUUCGGUCUGAUGACGAGCGGCGGACGGCUGAGUAACGCGUGGGAACACGCCCCAAAGUGAGGAAUAACUGCCCGAAAGGGUGGCUAAUGCCGCAUAUGAUCUUCGGAUUAAAGGAUUUAUCCGCUUUGGGAGUGGCCUGCGUACGAUUAGGUAGUUGGUGAGGUAAUGGCUCACCAAGCCUACGAUCGUUAACUGGUCUGAGAGGAUGAUCAGUCAGACUGGAACUGAGACACGGUCCAGACUCCUACGGGAGGCAGCAGUGAGGAAUCUUCCACAAUGGGCGAAAGCCUGAUGGAGCGACGCCGCGUGCAGGAUGAAGGCCUUCGGGUUGUAAACUGCUUUUAUAAGUGAAGAAUAUGACGGUAACUUAUGAAUAAGCACCGGCUAACUACGUGCCAGCAGCCGCGGUA
rnacentral:rRNA from 1 species